GAGACAAAACCCUAAUUUUCAUUCUCCUUCUCUCUCUCGCUCACGUUCACCGCUAGUUCUGUAGCGGAAUCAAUAUUGGAUGAAUCAAUCAGUAGUGUUGUGGGGAUGAUGGUUGACUUUUUUUAUGGAUUCUUAGCGAUUGCGAUGGUUCGACUUCAUUAACGGAGAGAUGGAGGAUGAGCGGAGUUUUGGAUUGAAUCGUUCCAGUUCCUGAAAUUUAAGCAAAGGAUCAUUCAAGAUAGAGACUAUGGACCUCUCAGCUUGAACAUUCUACAAACCAGAGACUUCUUCUGUGGAAUUUGAAGUUUAUGAGGCUGGUUAAUUGGCUUGGAAUGACUAUGUUCCUGAUGGUAUAACGGAAGUGAGACUGGUAUAAUAGAAGUGAGGAUGCCCAGAUUUUUAAAUUCUCGACGCUCAUAUUCAUCAAGCUGAAAAAGCAUGGUCUCGAGGAUCAAUAUGUAGAAGUAUGACAUACAUGGAGCAUGUGGAUUUUUUAAUUUAUAUUCUGCAUAUGAGAGAUAAGGUGGCUGUUCUUCAGCUCUUAAAAAUCAGCAUAAGACUUUCAGGUUACUCUUCCUCAUAUUUCCAUUAUAAGAACUGGAAUAUCUUUCAAAAUCAUGCAUAUUGCCUCUGCUUAAGUUUCUUUCUUUCUUGUAUGUAUAUAUCCUUAUUAGCAUACUUUCUCCAUGAAGGAAGAUUGAAUUCCUAUAAGCUGUUACUGUUAAGUUUGAUUUCUAAUCCAAAUCAAACUAUUCUGUUUUAAGUUA